rnacentral:rRNA from 1 species
CGGGUGCACUGAUCCGGCCGGGCCUUUCCCUCUGUGGAACCCCAUGGCCUUCACUGGCUGUGCGGGGGAAACAGGACUUUUACUGUGAAAAAAUUAGAGUGCUCCAGGCAGGCCUAUGCUCGAAUACAUUAGCAUGGAAUAAUAGAAUAGGACGCGUGGUUCUAUUUUGUUGGUUUCUAGGACCGCCGUAAUGAUUAAUAGGGACAGUCGGGGGCAUCAGUAUUCAAUUGUCAGAGGUGAAAUUCUUGGAUCUAUUGAAGACUAACUACUGCGAAAGCAUUUGCCAAGGAUGUUUUCAUUGAUAAGGAACGAAAGUUAGGGGAUCGAAGACGAUCAGAUACCGUCGUAGUCUUAACUAUAAACUAUGCCGACUAGGGAUCGGACGAUGUUAUUUCUUGACGCGUUCGGCACCUUUCGAGAAACCAAAGUGCUUGGGCUCCAGGGGGAGUAUGGUCGCAAGGCUGAAACUUAAAGAAAUUGACGGAAGGGCACCACCAGGGGUGGAACCUGCGGCUUAAUUUGACUCAACACGGGGAAACUCACCAGGUCCAGACACAGUGAGGAUUGACAGAUUGAGAGCUCUUUCUUGAUUCUGUGGGUGGUGGUGCAUGGCCGUUCUUAGUUGGUGGAGUGAUUUGUCUGCUUAAUUGCGAUAACGAACGAGACCUUAACCUGCUAAAUAGCCCGUACUGCUCUGGCAGUUCGCCGGCUUCUUAGAGGGACUAUCGG